rnacentral:misc_RNA from 1 species
GAAAUGCGAUAAGUAAUGUGAAUUGCAGAAUUCAGCGAAUCAUCGAAUCUUUGAACGCACAUUGCGCCCAUUAGUAUUCUAUUGGGCAUGCCUGUUCGAGCGUCAUUUCAACCCUCAAGCCUUAGUGCUUGGCGUUGGGGCUUCUCUACAGCUCGCGCUGUAGGCCCCGAAAACCAGUGGCGGGCCCGUCGAGACCCCGAGCGUAGUAGUAUCUCUCAGCGCUCAGGGCGUCCGGCGGGUGCAACCAGCCGUAAACACCCCAAAAUCUAAAAAGGUUGACCUCGGAUCAGGUAGGAAUACCCGCUGAACUUAA